UUUUUUUUCCUUGAGGCAGAGUCUCACUGUGUCAUUCAGGCUGGAGUGCAGUGGCACAAUCACGGUUCACUGCAGCCUUGACCUCCUGAGCUCAAGCGAUCCUCCUGCCUCAGCCUCCCAAGUAGCUGGGACUACAGCCAUGUGCCACCACGCCCAGCUAAUUUUUGUAUUUUUUGUAGAAAGAGGGUCUCUUGUGUUGCCCAGGCUGGUCUCAAGCUCCUGGGGUCAACAGAUCCUCCCCUCUCAGCCUCUUCAAGUGUUGGGAUUACAGGCGUGAGCUACUGUGCUUGGCCCUCACCCACAUUUUAAGUACUACUGCUCUAGGCCAGUGAGACCUCCCGUGAAGAAGAGGUUGGAAUCAUCCUUUCCUGGAGCACAAGGCCACAAGGCCAUCUGGGGAAGGGGUGGAUGCUUGAACUUCCCACUAUGCUAGGAGAGAAAGAGGAGGAAAUGGAUACUGUUAGGAAGAAGGGAAGAUAUUGACCGAUAACCAGCCAUGCCCCUUUCCAAACUUUUCUCUAGAACAUACUCAGAGUAAGCUUUUUUGUUUUUAAAUUUUCACUGUGACAAAAUACACCUAACAUAUAAUUUACCUUCCUAAUCUUUUUUGUUUGUUCAUUUGUUUGUUUUGAGACAGAGUCUUGCUCUGUCACCUAGGCUGGAGUGCAGUGGUGCAAUCUCGGCUCACUGCAACCUCCGCCUCCCGGGUUCAAGCAAUUCUCUUACCUCAGCCUUCCAAGUAGCUGGGACUACAGGCGCCUGCCACCAUGCCCAGCUAAUUUUUGUAUUUUUAGUAGAGACGGGGUUUCACCAUGUUGGCCAGGCUGGUCUCGAACUCCUGACCUCAGGUGAUCCACCCACCUCGGCCUCCCAAAGUGCUGGGAUUACAGGUGUGAGCCAGUGCGCGAAGCCUUCCUAGCCAUUUUUAAUGCACAGUUCAGUGGCAUUAAGUGCAUUUCAUUAUUGUGCUACCAUCACCACCGUCCAUCCAAGAAUGUUUCCAUUUUGCAAAACUGAAACUCUAUACCCACUAAACAAUAACUCCACAGCCCCUUCCAGCCCCGGUCUCUAUGAGUUUGGCACGAAGUUCUACUUUCUGUCUCUGUGAGUCUGACUACUCAAAGUACCUCAUGUAAGUGGAAUCAUACAGUAUUUGUCUUUUUGUGACCGCCUUAUUUCACUUAGCAUAGUGUCCUCCAAUUUCAUAUAUGUCGUAGCACAUAUCAGAAUUAUUCUCUUAUUCUUAAGGCUCAGUAGUAUUCCACUGUGUGGAGAGACCAUAUUUUGUUUGUAUAUAUAUCUGUCAAUGGACAUUGGGUUGUUUACACCUUCUGGCUAUUGUGAAUAAUGCCGCUAUGAGUGCAAAUCUCUAUUCGAGUCCUCGCUUUCCAUUCUUUUGGGUAUAUACACAGAUGUGGAAUUGCAGGAUCAUAUGGUAGUUCUAUUUUUGCUUUUUUGAGCAACUGCCAUACUGUUUUCCACAGAGACUGCAUCAUUUCACAUUCUUGCUGGCAGGGGAUAAGGGUUCCAAUUUCUCCACAUUCUUGCUAACACUUUUUGUUUUUUUGAUAGCAGCCAUCCUAAUAGGUGUGAGGUGGUUAGAGUAAGCGUAAGUUGAUAAUGUCAUUUUCCUGGUAGAAUUCUACCACGGCUUUUAGCCGCCUUGUAAAAUUGAAGUUGAUGAUGAUUAGGACUGGCAAGGCCCUAUUGUUCUGACCCUGCCCUCCCCUCCACCCUCAUCCCUUAUUCUCUCCUUUGCUCACUGUCCUCCAGCACACAAACCUUUCUGUUUUUCGAACGUGCCAACAGGCUUCCAUCUCACAGCCUUUGCACAUCCUCUUCCCUCUGCCUGGAAACCUCCAUUUACAGCUUCCCAAACACUUUCCCUUCCUCAAUUCUCAGCUUCAAUGCAGGGACUUCCCAAACAUCCCCUGCCAAUCACUAUCACAUCACCUUGCUUUCAACGUUUGACAAAUAUUUUCUUGAGCACACAUUCUAUGACAGGCCCUAUGCUAGGUGCUGGGGAUACAGCAGUGAACAAAGCAGGCUAAAAUCCGUACUUCUAUGCAGCUUACAUUCCAGUGAUGGUCUUCAGCGCAUAAUCACUACUGCAAUUAUCUUGUUCAUUUUCCUAAUAUUUGUUGCACUGGCUGAUCAUUUCAGCAGUGUUUAUAAAGCAAAAGAGUUGGAAAUAGCCCAAAGGCAGAAUACUAGAGGUUAGUUUUUAAAAUUUAUAGUUCACCCUUAUACAAAGCCAUAGUUAUAACAUAAAAUGAAAUAUAAAAUUAUAGUUCAUCCUUAAUACAAAGCCAGAGUAAUAAUAUAAAGCCUUAUAAUGUAAAGCCAUACUUCUGUUUCAUGUGCUGCCAUGGAAAGGUGACCACGAUAUACUGGUAUCAGACAUAAGGAUAUAUUCCUUCUCAGUCUGCUUAGCACCACCACCUCCUAGACCCUCAGCCUCUUGUUCCUGCUUAACACAUAGUUCUACCACUUGAGCCCAGUUGCUCUGGGAGAGCAAAACUGUCACCUCUUGCUACCACUACAAAGCCAGGCCAACCAGAUACCCAGAGUUUCUACCUACUCCUCCUACUUUUGGACUUGGAUAAAACCACACAGCUGGGCAUGGGAUCUGACAUCCUAAACAUCUACCCAAGAGUAUAGGUGAUGCAACUCAGGAGCUUGAAUGACUAACACUCCAUGGGAAAUUUUUGCUUUUCAAAAUUAUUGAGAUCUUAAAAAAGAUUCCUUUUCUUUUUUUUUUUUUUUAAGAGAUGGGGGGUGUCUCACUAUGUUGCCCAGGCUGGACUAGAACUCAUGGGCAGAGAAGGGAAGAUGGAGCCGCCAUCUUGAACUUGUCUGUUCCCCUAGUUCCUGCUGGCAUUCACCUGUGCAAGCUCCCAGCUUGCUUGUCUCUGCCUGCAGCUCAACCUUACAGGCUGCUCUUUGUUACAAAAUGAUUUGGGGCUGCUUUUCAUUAAAAAGAAAAGCCUUACCGAGGACUCCCAUACCCUUACUAUCUGCCUAAGUGAUUUCUUCUUAACUCCUAUGUCACUUCCACCUUGGCCUCCUGAGUAACUAGCUGCAUGCCACUAGGCCCAGCUUUAAAAAGCUUUUCUUGAUGUGGUUUACAUCUGUCCAUGUUUAUCAUAUUCAAAAUUAAAGCUGGGAAAAUUUAAAAGUAUUAAUUGAUUUUUAAAUAAUAAGUCAUUAUUUGCUAACAUAAGUACAUAUUUUAUGUAAAAUAAAAUAUAUUUUUCCAAAACAAAAUUAAGCAAAAAGAAUAGUAUUGUUUUAUACUUUGGCAAAUCUCUUUAAUUUCUGGUUUAACAGAAAGCUCAAUUCUCAUCUGCUUUGGUAUUGUCUGUUGCAGUAUCUUGUUUUGGUUUAAGUAUCCGAAUAACUUAGCCUUAUACCGAUGUGUGGUUGGAAAUGAGAAACAUAGCUUUUUCAAAUAACUGGAUAUUCUUCUUUGAUAUUACACCAAAACUUGACAGUAGUACUUUCUGAAAGGCUAGUUGCAAUGUAGAAUCUGGAACCAAAUCAAUGAACUCUAUGUAUUCCCUUAUAUUAAAUUCCAUUGUUCAUUUGUACUCUUGUUGAAUCUUUUACCCAUGAAUAAUAUUGAUCUUGCAGAUCCCCCUGAAAGGGUCUUACAUCCUCCAAAGGUCCAUGGACCAUACUUUGACAAAUGAUGAUUGAUUGGUUUACUUGUUCAUAGUUGGCUUCUUCCAACUCUACCCUCUAGAAGUAAGCUUUUAGAAGGAGCAGGAAUCGUGUUUAUUUGGUAACCCUUGAACUUAUCAUAAGAUCUAGCUCACUGAGGGUACUCAAUAAUCAUGAGUUCAAUGAAUGAACCUCUGUGAUUCUCCAAGGGGUGUCCUGUGAAGUCAUCUGUUAUUUCAUGGAGGUGGUUAAUGGUUCUAUGUGAUGUUGAUACUACAUCAACCAAUUUCUCCAGGUUUUAAAAAUCAAUGUCAUAUAGAUAAAUUCACUUAACACUAACUGGCUGCAAAAUCAUCAAAUUUUGCCCUUCAGAAACAGAUUGUGAUUUUCAAUGACCAAUAUUUAUUUCAGUAAUCAUUCAAUACAGUAUUACAAUAAUCCAAUGUCAAUACAUUUUAUGAACUCUGCAGUAUAAAAUGCUAUAUGUUGGAAACAAGUUUAUCUAACCAAAGAUUUAUGAAGCAGUUCUCUUUCUUUAAGGGUACAGUAUUGCUGGGUGCAACGACGUGCCUGUAGUCCCAGCUACUUGGGAGGCUGAGGCCAGAGGAUCACCUGAGCCCAGGAGUUCUGGACUGCAGAGAGCUGUGCCAAUCAGGUGUCAAGACUGGUCCAAAUCUUGGGUCAGACUCACAUUUGGAGAGUAUCGUCUCCAUGAGAGUCAGAAGAAAAUGGGCAAAGUAAUUGAGGAGGCGAGCUACAAGAUUUCCGAAGCUGACACUCCUGAAAUAUAAAGAUGAGGACUGAGGGACUCACUAACAAGGUGGCUGGCUCUCCCCAGAGUGAAUGAUUCCAGAGAAGGCCAGAAAGAGUCACUGCAUCUAAAACGGAACCUGCAGUAUUUUGUAACCUCAUCUCAAAAGUGACAAACCAUCACUUCUGUCAUAGUCUUGUCUUUAGAAGUCAGUCAAUUCAACCCACGUAGAAAAAGGGGAUUGCACAGCAAUCCCAUUACUGGUUAUAUACCCAGACAAAUAUAAAUCAUUCUACCAUAAAGACACACGCUUGUGA